rfam:Glossina fuscipes fuscipes unplaced genomic scaffold Scaffold629, whole genome shotgun sequence.
GGCUCAAUGGUCUAGGAGUAUGAUUCUCGCUUUGGGUGCGAGAGGUCCCGGGUUCAAAUCCAGGUUGAGCCC